UACGAAGGGGGCUAGCGUUGCUCGGAAUCACUGGGCGUAAAGCGCACGUAGGCGGACUCUUAAGUCGGUGGUGAAAUCCUGGAGCUCAACUCCAGAACUGCCUCCGAUACUGGGAGCCUUCGAGUCCGGGAGAGGUGAGUGGAACUGCGAGUGUAGAGGUGAAAUUCGUAGAUAUUCGGCGGAACACCGGUGGCGAAGGCGACUCACUGGCCCGAUACUGACGCUGAGGCGCGAAAGCGUGGGGAGCAAACAGG
rnacentral:rRNA from 1 species